UACGGAAGGCAGCAGUGGGGAAUAUUGCACAAUGGGCGCAAGCCUGAUGCAGCCAUGCCGCGUGUAUGAAGAAGGCCUUCGGGUUGUAAAGUACUUUCAGUCGUGAGGAAGGUGUUAAGGUUAAUAACCUUAGCAAUUGACGUUAGCGACAGAAGAAGCACCGGCUAACUCCGUACCAGCAGCCGCGGUAAUACGGAGGGUGCGAGCGUUAAUCGGAAUUACUGGGCGUAAAGGGCACGCAGGCGGUUAAUUAAGUUGGAUGUGAAAUCCCCGGGCUUAACCUGGGAAUGGCAUUCAAGACUGGUUAGCUAGAGUCUUGUAGAGGGGGUAGAAUUCCAUGUGUAGCGGUGAAAUGCGUAGAGAUGUGGAGGAAUACCGGUGGCGAAGGCGGCCCCUGGACAAAGACUGACGCUCAUGUGCGAAAGCGUGGGGAGCAAACAGGGAUUAGAUACC
rnacentral:rRNA from 1 species